UACGUAGGGUGCAAGCGUUAAUCGGAAUUACUGGGCGUAAAGCGUGCGCAGGCGGCUUUGCAAGACAGAUGUGAAAUCCCCGGGCUCAACCUGGGAACUGCAUUUGUGACUGCAUUGCUGGAGUGCGGCAGAGGGGGAUGGAAUUCCGCGUGUAGCAGUGAAAUGCGUAGAUAUGCGGAGGAACACCGAUGGCGAAGGCAAGCCCUC
rnacentral:rRNA from 1 species